ACGGGUGAGUAAUGCAUAGGAAUCUACCUAGUAGUAUGGGAUAGCCACUAGAAAUGGUGGGUAAUACUGUAUAAUCCCUGCGGGGGAAAGAUUUAUCGCUAUUAGAUGAGCCUAUGUUAGAUUAGCUAGUUGGUAGGGUAAAGGCCUACCAAGGCAGUGAUCUAUAGCUGGUCUGAGAGGAUGAUCAGCCACACUGGAACUGAGAUACGGUCCAGACUCCUACGGGAGGCAGCAGUGGGGAAUAUUGGACAAUGGGCGCAAGCCUGAUCCAGCUAUGCCGCGUGAGUGAGGAAGGCCUUAGGGUUGUAAAACUCUUUCAGUGGGGAAGAUAAUGACGGUACCCACAGAAGAAGUCCCGGCAAACUCCGUGCCAGCAGCCGCGGUAAUACGGAGGGGGCAAGCGUUGUUCGGAAUUAUUGGGCGUAAAGGGCAUGUAGGCGGUUCGGUAAGUUAAAGGUGAAAUGCCAGGGCUUAACCCUGGAGCUGCUUUUAAUACUGCCAGACUCGAGUCCGGGAGAGGAUAGCGAAAUUUCCUAG
rnacentral:rRNA from 1 species